rnacentral:tRNA from 4 species
GCUCGUAUAGCUCAGUUGGUAGAGCAACUCCCUUGUAAGGAGAAGGUCGUGGGUUCAAGUCCUACUGCGAGCACCA